CCAUGUGGAGGUGAAAGGCAGAGUCACAGGUGUUUGCAGGAGGAAGCUUUCUGCAUGUGGAGGUGAAUGCAGGGUCACAGGUGUUUGGAGGAGGAAGCUUUCUGCAUGUGGAGGUGAAUGCAGGGUCACAGGUGUUU